rnacentral:rRNA from 1 species
ACGGCAGUACCAUGCUGAAUAUACCGGUUCUCGUUAGAUCACCGAAGUCAAGCAUCAUUGGGCGCGGUCAGUACUUGGGUGGGUGACCACCUGGGAACACCGCGUGCCGU